UACAGAGGGGGCAAGCGUUAUUCGGAAUUAUUGGGCGUAAAGCGCGCGCAGGCGGUCCUUUAGGUCUGAUGUGAAAGCCCACGGCUCAACCGAGGAACUGCGUCUGAUACUGGAAGGCUUGAAUCCGGGAGAGGGAUGUGGAAUUCCAGGUGUAGCGGUGAAAUGUGUAGAUAUCUGGAGGAACACCGGUGGCGAAGGCAGGUCUCUGGGCAUUAACCGACGCUGAGGAGCGAAAGCAUGGGGAGCGAACAGG
rnacentral:rRNA from 1 species